rnacentral:rRNA from 1 species
UGAGGAAUAUUGGUCAAUGGCCGAGAGGCUGAACCAGCCAAGUCGCGUGAAGGAAGAAGGAUCUAUGGUUUGUAAACUUCUUUUAUAGGGGAAUAAAGUGGAGGACGUGUCCUUUUUUGUAUGUACCCUAUGAAUAAGCAUCGGCUAACUCCGUGCCAGCAGCCGCGGUAAUACGGAGGAUGCGAGCGUUAUCCGGAUUUAUUGGGUUUAAAGGGUGCGUAGGUGGUGAUUUAAGUCAGCGGUGAAAGUUUGUGGCUCAACCAUAAAAUUGCCGUUGAAACUGGGUUACUUGAGUGUGUUUGAGGUAGGCGGAAUGCGUGGUGUAGCGGUGAAAUGCAUAGAUAUCACGCAGAACUCCGAUUGCGAAGGCAGCUUACUAAACCAUAACUGACACUGAAGCACGAAAGCGUGGGGAUCAAACAGGAUUAGAUACCCUGGUAGUCCACGCAGUAAACGAUGAUUACUAGGAGUUUGCGAUACAAUGUAAGCUCUACAGCGAAAGCGUUAAGUAAUCCACCUGGGGAGUACGCCGGCAACGGUGAAACUCAAAGGAAUUGACGGGGGCCCGCACAAGCGGAGGAACAUGUGGUUUAAUUCGAUGAUACGCGAGGAACCUUACCCGGGUUUGAACGUAGUCUGACCGGAGUGGAAACACUUUUUCUAGCAAUAGCAGAUUACGAGGUGCUGCAUGGUUGUCGUCAGCUCGUGCCGUGAGGUGUCGGCUUAAGUGCCAUAACGAGCGCAACCCUUAUCACUAGUUACUAACAGGUGAAGCUGAGGACUCUGGUGAGACUGUCAGCGUAAGCUGUGAGGAAGGUGGGGAUGACGUCAAAUCAGCACGGCCCUUACAUCCGGGGCGACACACGUGUUACAAUGGCAUGGACAAAGGGCAGCUACCUGGCGACAGGAUGCUAAUCUCCAAACCAUGUCUCAGUUCGGAUCGGAGUCUGCAACUCGACUCCGUGAAGCUGGAUUCGCUAGUAAUCGCGCAUCAGCCAUGGCGCGGUGAAUACGUUCCC